rnacentral:lncRNA from 1 species
CAGGUUCUCUCUCUCUCUCUCUCUCUCUUCCAGGUUCAUCAAAAUCACUGGUCAUGUAACGUUGAGUGCAUGCGGCUCCCACAAAUUGGAAUGAACACGGUUGCGUGUGGUCCAUGACCUUCCUCUCUCAACCAUAUCAUCUUAAUCGGAUUACUCAAACCACAGCUUUCGCCAGGAUCUUAUGGCUGAUUGCUCUGAUAAAAAAAAAAAAACAUUACAAGACUAUCUUUUGAAUCUGCCGGAGUGGAUGAUGUUUGGGUCGUAAGACAAUGGCAAUUCCUUAAUCAGUUUCUAUAAUUAAGAAACUACUGAAAGGUGAAAUCAAAAACCAUGAUCAGAAUGACAUAAGGUUGCUCACGACAUCACGUUCUUGUUUACGCAGGCGAUUCCUAGAGAAGCAAGGAACUACGAGCUCGGAGAAGCCCGAUACUACGUGGUGCUCGUGUGGACCGCGAUCAUCAAUCAAUUCUUUUUCUUGGGAGCCAUAGGGGUCAUCUUCUAUGCCU